CUUCAAUGGCUCACCCGUGUUCUCCCGGGUGCAAUCCAUCAAAUCUGCCCCUAAGAACCACUCAUCUACCAUCUCUGCGGUUGCAACUCCUAACUAUGACCUAGACAACUUCAAAUUCAACCCUAUCAAGGAGUCCAUCGUGUCCCGAGAGAUGACACGGAGAUACAUGACCGACAUGAUCACGUAUGCAGACACUGAUGUUGUUGUUGUAGGUGCAGGAUCAGCUGGCCUAUCAUGUGCCUAUGAGCUCAGCAAGAACCCUGACAUCAACAUAGCAAUUAUUGAACAAUCCGUGAGCCCUGGUGGCGGUGCGUGGCUAGGUGGACAGCUUUUCUCAGCUAUGGUUGUUCGUAAACCAGCUCACAAGUUCCUUGACGAGCUCGAGGUGGAGUACGAUGAGCAAGAUGACUACGUGGUCAUCAAGCAUGCAGCACUUUUUACGUCGACUAUUAUGAGCAAGCUUUUGGCUAGGCCUAAUGUGAAGCUGUUCAAUGCAGUGGCGGCUGAGGAUUUGAUUGUCAAGGGAGACAGAGUUGCUGGAGUUGUGACAAAUUGGGCUCUUGUGUCCAUGAACCAUGACACACAAUCUUGCAUGGACCCGAAUGUCAUGGAAGCUAAGAUUGUGGUUAGCUCGUGUGGGCAUGAUGGUCCUUUUGGAGCCACUGGUGUCAAGAGGUUGAGGAGUAUCGGGAUGAUUGAGAGCGUUCCUGGAAUGAAGGCUCUUGAUAUGAAUGCUGCUGAGGACGCGAUUGUUAGGCUUACUAGAGAAAUUGUGCCCGGGAUGAUUGUUACUGGCAUGGAAGUGGCUGAGAUUGAUGGAUCCCCAAGAAUGGUAAAAACUUUUUACGCGAAUUCCUAUUAUAUACAAAACAUUUUCAUUGAUCAUCUUAUUAGGCUGUAUUAGAAAAUUUUGGGUACAUUUUAACGAAUGUUAUUGUAUAUGCAGGGACCGACAUUUGGGGCGAUGAUGAUGUCAGGACAGAAAGCAGCACAUCUGGCAUUGAGGGCAUUAGGUCUACCAAAUGCUCUGGAAGAGAGCCAACCAGAGUUUGUAAUUGCAGAUGCUGCGGAUGAGAUUGUGGAAGCUUGAUCAAU
rnacentral:lncRNA from 1 species